GCCAGGCAAACUUCCUUCCUUUUUAGC
rnacentral:piRNA from 1 species